rnacentral:lncRNA from 1 species
AUGACAAAGAAAAGAAGGAACAAUGGUUGUGCCAAAAAGGGCCACAGCCACGUGCAGCCUGUUUGCUGCACGAACCGUGCCUGAUGCGUGCCCAAGGACAAGGCCAUUAAGAAAUUCGUCAUUUGAAACACAGUGAAGGUCGCAGCAGUCAGGGACAUUUCCGAAGCGAGUGUCUUUGAUGUCUAUGUGCUUCCCAAGCUGUUAUGUGAAGCUAUAUUACUGUGUGAGUUGUGCAACUCACAACAAAGUAGUCAGGAAUCGAUCUCAUGAAGGAGAAGGAUCGAACACCUCCACCCCAAUUUAGACCUGCGGGUGCUGCCCCAUGACCCCCACCAAAGCCCAUGUAA